AUACGGGGCUUAAAACCUAGAUGACAGGUUGAUAGGUGCAGCAAACCACCAUGGCACAUGUACCUAUGUAACAAACCUGCACAUUCUGCAUAUGUAUCCCAGAACUUAAAGUAAAAUAAAAUAAAAAAGCAACAUAUAAAUGUAAGCAAUUUUUUUCUUUAUAAUCGCAGCAGUGAGAAAAUCAUUAAUGCAAGCAUCCCCUUGGAGAGACAAAGUACUAAAGCUAGGCAAGCCUUGAGACACAGAGUUCUUUUCCUCACCAAAAUACCAAGAACAAAGGAACAAAAUGUUCAGGAGAGGAGCCGCUCUGUAGAAAUCUCUAACGGACCACACUAAAAUUCCUUCUGGUGAACUGUGGGAAAUUUUCCACUUCCCAGUUGGUGCUGCUUGAACUUCAUUUAGAACUCUGUGAUAUGUGCCUCCUGCCUUGUGUUUCUUUCUCUGCCCAAAUGUGGAAGACCGGAUGGCACAGAGGGGGAGGACACAGAGGCGGGACUGCAAGUGCCUGCACCUGUUGGAAAUGGCAGGUCCUGUGCUUUCUUCCCUGCCCCUCAUGCCUCAUGUCCAUCUCUUCAGCUCUCAGGGCUGAAGGUUCUGCAUUCUUUUUUCCUAGCUUGUUUCUG
rnacentral:lncRNA from 10 species